UACAGAGGGUGCGAGCGUUUAAUCGGAAUUACUGGGCGUAAAGCGUGCGUAGACGGUUAUGUAAGUCGGGUGUGAAAGCCCCCGGGCUCAACCUGGGAAUUGCAUUCGAGACUGCAUAGCUAGGGUGCGGAAGAGGGAAGCGGAAUUUCCGGUGUAGCGGUGAAAUGCGUAGAUAUCGGAAGGAACACCAGUGGCGAAAGCGGCUUCCUGGUCCAGCACCGACGUCAGGCACGAAAGCGUGGGGAGCAAACAGG
rnacentral:rRNA from 1 species